ACAUUUCAGAAUGAUGAAAACCCUCCAUUCCCGAGGUGUUUAUAACUCUGAGGUUCUACUGUGCACGUGGGUCAGAAUUGCCAGGAGGAAAAGAUUCCAUACUCGGAUGCCUGUGGCUUACAACCAUCAAAAUCUGUCAUUACAAUGGGGGAGAAUAGAGUAACACAGGAAACUGCUGGGAGGCACAAGAAAGAGCAGAACAUAUGGAACCCAUUCACUGAUGAAAGCUAUGAGAAGUACUAUUCAGCUAUGAAACCUAUGACUAGAUACUGCAUUGAGGAG